ACGAUAACGGCGUCGAGCGGCGGACGGGUGAGUAAUGCCUAGGAAAUUGCCCUGAUGUGGGGGAUAACCAUUGGAAACGAUGGCUAAUACCGCAUGAUGCCUACGGGCCAAAGAGGGGGACCUUCGGGCCUCUCGCGUCAGGAUAUGCCUAGGUGGGAUUAGCUAGUUGGUGAGGUAAGGGCUCACCAAGGCGACGAUCCCUAGCUGGUCUGAGAGGAUGAUCAGCCACACUGGAACUGAGACACGGUCCAGACUCCUACGGGAGGCAGCAGUGGGGAAUAUUGCACAAUGGGCGCAAGCCUGAUGCAGCCAUGCCGCGUGUGUGAAGAAGGCCUUCGGGUUGUAAAGCACUUUCAGUCGUGAGGAAGGUAGUGUAGUUAAUAGCUGCAUUAUUUGACGUUAGCGACAGAAGAAGCACCGGCUAACUCCGUGCCAGCAGCCGCGGUAAUACGGAGGGUGCGAGCGUUAAUCGGAAUUACUGGGCGUAAAGCGCAUGCAGGUGGUUUGUUAAGUCAGAUGUGAAAGCCCGGGGCUCAACCUCGGAAUUGCAUUUGAAACUGGCAGACUAGAGUACUGUAGAGGGGGGUAGAAUUUCAGGUGUAGCGGUGAAAUGCGUAGAGAUCUGAAGGAAUACCGGUGGCGAAGGCGGCCCCCUGGACAGAUACUGACACUCAGAUGCGAAAGCGUGGGGAGCAAACAGGAUUAGAUACCCUGGUAGUCCACGCCGUAAACGAUGUCUACUUGGAGGUUGUGGCCUUGAGCCGUGGCUUUCGGAGCUAACGCGUUAAGUAGACCGCCUGGGGAGUACGGUCGCAAGAUUAAAACUCAAAUGAAUUGACGGGGGCCCGCACAAGCGGUGGAGCAUGUGGUUUAAUUCGAUGCAACGCGAAGAACCUUACCUACUCUUGACAUCCAGAGAACUUUCCAGAGAUGGAUUGGUGCCUUCGGGAACUCUGAGACAGGUGCUGCAUGGCUGUCGUCAGCUCGUGUUGUGAAAUGUUGGGUUAAGUCCCGCAACGAGCGCAACCCUUAUCCUUGUUUGCCAGCGAGUAAUGUCGGGAACUCCAGGGAGACUGCCGGUGAUAAACCGGAGGAAGGUGGGGACGACGUCAAGUCAUCAUGGCCCUUACGAGUAGGGCUACACACGUGCUACAAUGGCGCAUACAGAGGGCAGCCAACUUGCGAAAGUGAGCGAAUCCCAAAAAGUGCGUCGUAGUCCGGAUUGGAGUCUGCAACUCGACUCCAUGAAGUCGGAAUCGCUAGUAAUCGUGGAUCAGAAUGCCACGGUGAAUACGUUCCCGGGCCUUGUACACACCGCCCGUCACACCAUGGGAGUGGGCUGCAAAAGAAGUAGGUAGUUUAACCUUCGGGGGGACGCUUACCACUUUGUGGUUCAUGACUGGGGUGAAGUCGUAACAAGGUAGCGCUAGGGGAACCUGGCGCUG
rnacentral:rRNA from 2 species